CUACGUGCCAGCAGCCGCGGUAAUACGGAGGGUGCGAGCGUUAAUCGGAAUAACUGGGUGUAAAGGGCACGCAGGCGGUGACUUAAGUGAGGUGUGAAAGCCCCGGGCUUAACCUGGGAAUUGCAUUUCAUACUGGGUCGCUAGAGUACUUUAGGGAGGGGUAGAAUUCCACGUGUAGCGGUGAAAUGCGUAGAGAUGUGGAGGAAUACCGAAGGCGAAGGCAGCCCCUUGGGAAUGUACUGACGCUCAUGUGCGAAAGCGUGGGGAGCAAACAGGAUUAGAUACCCUGGUAGUCCACGCUGUAAACGAUGUCGAUUUGGGGAUUGGGCUUUAAGCUUGGUGCCCGUAGCUAACGUGAUAAAUCGACCGCCUGGGGAGUACGGCCGCAAGGUUAAAACUCAAAUGAAUUGACGGGGGCCCGCACAAGCGGUGGAGCAUGUGGUUUAAUUCGAUGCAACGCGAAGAACCUUACCUACUCUUGAC
rnacentral:rRNA from 1 species